rnacentral:rRNA from 1 species
UUCUUUAAGGGGAAGAGUUAAAGUAUAACCUGCCCACUGAUUAUAUAAAAGGCCGCAGUAUACUGACUGUGCUAAGGUAGCAUAAUCAUUUGGUUUUUAAUUAAGAUCUUGUAUGAAGGGUUAUACGGUUUAAUGUCUAUUAAAUUUUAUUUAUUUUGAAUUUAAAUUUUUAGUAAAAAUUCUAAAAUUGAAUUGAGGGACGAUAAGACCCUAUAAAGCUUUAUUUAUGAAAAGAAUUUUUUUUUUACUAGUAAAAGUUUUUUAUAAAUUUUGUUGGGGCGACAGUCAAAUUAUACCUUGAUGGAAAAAUUUUUAGAUCCAAAAAUUUUGAUAUUUAGAAUAAGUUACUUUAGGGCUAACAGUAUUAUUUAUUCAGGGAGUUCAAAUCGGAGAAUAUGUUUAUUACCUCGAUGUUGAAUUAAAGUUAUUAGUAGGUGUAGCCGCUUAUUAAAAUUAGUCUGUUCGACUAUUAAAUCUUUACA